UACAUGGGGUGCAAACGUUGCUCGGAAUCAUUGGGCGUAAAGCGCGCGUAGGCGGUUAUUUAAGUUGGAUGUGAAAGCCCUCGGCUUAACCGAGGAACUGCCGUCCAAACUGCUUUGCUUGAGACCGGGAGAGGUGAGUGGAAUUCCCAGUGUAGCGGUGAAAUGCGUAGAUAUUGGGAGGAACACCAGUGGCGAAGGCGGCUCACUGGACCGGUACUGACGCUGAUGCGCGAAAGCGUGGGGAGCAAACGGG
rnacentral:rRNA from 1 species